AGAGGUAAACGGGUGGAUCCGCAAAGUCGGCCCGUGGAACUCAGCUCGGCGCGCGGCCCGGGGCGUCGCGGUUCGGGAUCCUCGUGACCCGUCCGCGGCUUCUCGCCGGGCUCCGCCGUGUGCACUUUCCACGGGCAGAGCGCCACGACCGGUUUCGAGGCGGUUAGACGCCCUCGGGGAAGGUAGGCGUGAGCUUUUAGUUCGCGCUGUUAUAGCCCCGUGUGGCCAGCCGCUUUGAGACCGAGGAACGACCGCGUUGGCCUUCGUGGCUGCCCGGCCUUCCGGGGAGUUCGACUGGUGGGGACUGGGCAACCGUGCCCGCCGACCGCUCUCCCGCGACUGGUCGGGCCAGCGGGCCUUGCGCUUAGGUCAGUGCGA
rnacentral:rRNA from 1 species